rfam:Gossypium hirsutum cultivar TM-1 chromosome 22, whole genome shotgun sequence
CACGUCAGCGCGACCUGCUGAUGUGGAAGGAAAUCGCGCAAUUUCCUUCCACGUCAGCAGGUCGCUCUUACGUGG